rnacentral:rRNA from 2 species
UUAAUUUUGAACGAUGGCGGACGGGUGAGUAACACGUGGGUAACCUGCCCUUAAGUGGGGGAUAACAUUUGGAAACAGAUGCUAAUACCGCAUAAAUCCAAGAACCGCAUGGUUCUUGGCUGAAAGAUGGCGUAAGCUAUCGCUUUUGGAUGGACCCGCGGCGUAUUAGCUAGUUGGUGAGGUAACGGCUCACCAAGGCAAUGAUACGUAGCCGAACUGAGAGGUUGAUCGGCCACAUUGGGACUGAGACACGGCCCAAACUCCUACGGGAGGCAGCAGUAGGGAAUCUUCCACAAUGGACGCAAGUCUGAUGGAGCAACGCCGCGUGAGU